rnacentral:rRNA from 1 species
UGCAGUCGACGAUGAACCACUUCGGUGGGGAUUAGUGGCGAACGGGUGAGUAACACGUGGGCAAUCUGCCCUGCACUCUGGGACAAGCCCUGGAAACGGGGUCUAAUACCGGAUAAUACUCCCGCACUCAUGUGUGGGGGUUAAAAGCUCCGGCGGUGCAGGAUGAGCCCGCGGCCUAUCAGCUUGUUGGUGAGGUAAUGGCUCACCAAGGCGACGACGGGUAGCCGGCCUGAGAGGGCGACCGGCCACACUGGGACUGAGACACGGCCCAGACUCCUACGGGAGGCAGCAGUGGGGAAUAUUGCACAAUGGGCGAAAGCCUGAUGCAGCGACGCCGCGUGAGGGAUGACGGCCUUCGGGUUGUAAACCUCUUUCAGCAGGGAAGAAGCGCAAGUGACGGUACCUGCAGAAGAAGCGCCGGCUAACUACGUGCCAGCAGCCGCGGUAAUACGUAGGGCGCAAGCGUUGUCCGGAAUUAUUGGGCGUAAAGAGCUCGUAGGCGGCUUGUCACGUCGGGUGUGAAAGCCCGGGGCUUAACCCCGGGUCUGCAUUCGAUACGGGCUAGCUAGAGUGUGGUAGGGGAGAUCGGAAUUCCUGGUGUAGCGGUGAAAUGCGCAGAUAUCAGGAGGAACACCGGUGGCGAAGGCGGAUCUCUGGGCCAUUACUGACGCUGAGGAGCGAAAGCGU